UUCACAAUGUGAUCUUAUUUCUGUUCCUGAAAAGUUGUUUUCAGUGUAUUUUCUCCUUGAAAUCGAUCACUUCAGGUACUAUUACUGUGCAUACCUAGCUAAAUUAGUGUCUAGUUUCGUCUCUGAUGACAUUUAUUUCGUAAAAAUCGCUGUUUUUUUCUAAAAAGGUGUUUUUGUGGUCAUUUUGGCUGUUUAUUUCGAGGGUACGGUAGGAGGUCAUCGUUCACUCGAUAACUCUUUUUAAAAUGAAAUAAAAGCGUUUUAAGAUACAUGAUAUGAAUUGAUAUUAAUAUUCGUUAAGUGGGAUUGUCGGUGGACGUUCAUUGUUGAACAGUUGUGCUGGAAUUACGAAAAUAUAUCGAUAUCGUUGAGAGUUCAUUCAUUAGGGGCCUGUUCUCAAUUUUCCUUACAACGCCUCUAGCACUGGGCAAUUGCCACCAUCUUGAAAAGCAGUGCCGCGGAUGGCUAUCGCAUCGCCACUACGCAUGAGAACACGAUGGCUGCCCUGCGCUGCAUUGAUAGUUCGUAAUAAAUUCACAUAAAAACACACCAGAAGAUCUCCGAUUUUAUUUACAAAGAUCAUAUUUUGUUAUUUAUUGAUAAAACAAGCCAUUUUACCACAGCAGGUGACACAUAUUAGGCCUGAAUAAGACUUUAGAAUUUGAAGUGGUGGUGACGAUGCCGAUAUCCAAGAUGGCGGAAUUAUACCAGUGGUCAAAUCUCAUCUAUUUUGGGUAAUUGCAUCAUUAUUUCUUUUUGUGAUUGGUGAUUUGUAAAAUUGAGAAUGAUUGAAAAAUCAGUAUUUUUUCACCCAAAGGCAUGAGUGAACAUUUGAUAAGUUUAUUGUGAUUUAAUUGGUAAUUUGGUCGACAUUUUGACAAUUAUAUUUAGCAAUAUUUCGAUAAAUGCGGACCUGCUUCUUCCUCUUUUCGUAGUGGCGGUGUUUCGAUAACUCAGUUAGACUUCGAGAUCUACAUUUUCGACAAAGGCCUGGUGUAUAAAUAUUACGUACUUGAUGAAGGUUUAAUGACACGAAUGAGUACAAGUACAUUACAUAUUUUCGACGAAGGCCUUCUGUAAUUUCAUACGCUUCUUACGCAACAUUCAAUAGAUUUAUUUACUGUAUUAUCAUUUCGACCAAGGCGAAUUCGACACUUCAAUUGACAAGGUUAGUAACUUUUGUUCACAAAAUCCAAAUGGAGGCAAAUACAGAACAAUCAAACUUAGUCAUUCAAGUCAGUUACUGAAGCACAGUGAAAACUGUCGGGAGCAGUGCAACUGAUGGCAUGUCAAACUUCCUGUGACUGUCCCUGUCCAUAUAUUUCAAGACAGUACAAAUCUUGUAAUCAUUUUGUUUAUGCAAUGUACGUUAUUAUGUAUCAUUUCAGCACAAUCAAACUUAGUCAUUCCAGUCAGUUACUGAAGCACAGCGAAAACUGUCUGAAUUAGUGCUGCUGAUGGCAUGUAAUUACUCUACUACCACUACCAGUGACAGUCAAUGUCCAUAUAUUUUCAAGUGUGCGAAAUUAGUACUCGUCUACUUCUUAGUGUUAUUUGAAUGCAAUGUAUGUUAUAAAAAUAUUUUUUCAACACUAUAUCAACAUUCUCAUUCCUGUCAGUUUCUGAAAAUCAGCUAAAGCAAUCGCUACCAAUGCAGCUGAUAACAGCAAUUCUUUUUGUUCCCAAUGCCCAUCCAUGACAAUAUAUUUCACGCAUGUGACAAUCAUGUAAUCAUCCUGUUUUUUGUGUUCUAUUCAUGCAAUAAAUAAAUUCAGUAUUUUCAAAUCAUUGGUGCUACAAAACUAUUCUCAUUAUAGAUUAUUCAUAUUUUAUAAAAUGCUGUCAUGUCAAAUUUUGUGUCCUAUAAAUCAUUAUGAAGUCGGCAUUUUAUAUACAACUUUUGUACUCCUCCUAAAUAAACAUACAAAUCUUGUUUUAUGUAAACUUUGUAUAUGUGACCCGUCACAGCAAAACCAGACGCAUGUCGCUCUGAGCUUGGCAGGUUGAGACGGACUGUUUGUUCAUUUAUCUAUUGUCUGCCUUUUGUAAAAUAUGAGCACAUCAAUUUCUUCCAUUAUCUCCUGGUGUCAUUUAGGCUCAUCUUCUGUGCGACAUGUACCUGGUUUUGCUGUGACGGGUCACAUAUUCUAUAGAUAUACAACACUCUAAUGUCACAAUGCCUCUCUCACUCGCUUUUAUAUAGCAAGAUGUAUGAAUAAACAUGACACACCAACUAUGUACAAAAUUGCUAACAAACUGCACCAUUUGUCAGUACACCACAUGAAAUACAGAGAUAUGUCUUAAUUCUAAUCUUUCAUUAGCGACACCAUUUCUUACCCGAGUGCCUCCUUCAUUCAUACAUCUUGUACUUUAACUCAAGAUACCCAUCUUUGAAUAUUUUUAGUAUACCAAGUACUACAAUGUCAAUGUAUUGAAGUCAUGUUCUUGUAGUGUUAUUGGCUUUCUAUUAUCUUGUCAAAAUACCACUUGGUUCUCGCAAAAUCUCAAUAAAAACAAAUGCUAUUGCAUGUAUUGCAUAUUCUGACAGCUAUCCACUGUAUCGAUUUAUCCAUCAUCUGUACUAUUUGUCACAAAAAUGUUAUAUUAUGUAAAUCAUAUUUCAUUACAUAAUGCACACUGCCAAUUACUGCUGAACCAUUCAU